rnacentral:rRNA from 1 species
UACGUAGGUGGCAAGCGUUGUCCGGAAUUAUUGGGCGUAAAGCGCGCGCAGGCGGCCUCUUGAGUCUGAUGUGAAAGCCCCCCGGCUCAACCGGGGGAGGGCCAUUGGAAACUGGGAGGCUUGAGUAUAGGAGAGAAGAGUGGAAUUCCACGUGUAGCGGUGAAAUGCGUAGAGAUGUGGAGGAACACCAGUGGCGAAGGCGACUCUUUGGCCUAUAACUGACGCUGAGGCGCGAAAGCGUGGGGAGCAACAGG